AGUGAACGCUGGCGGUAGGCCUAACACAUGCAAGUCGAACGGCAGCACAGUAAGAGCUUGCUCUUACGGGUGGCGAGUGGCGGACGGGUGAGGAAUACAUCGGAAUCUACUUUUUCGUGGGGGAUAACGUAGGGAAACUUACGCUAAUACCGCAUACGCCCUACGGGUGAAAGCAGGGGAUCUUCGGACCUUGCGCGAUUGAAUGAGCCGAUGUCGGAUUAGCUAGUUGGCGGGGUAAAGGCCCACCAAGGCGACGAUCCGUAGCUGGUCUGAGAGGAUGAUCAGCCACACUGGAACUGGGACACGGUCCAUACUCCUACGGGAGGCAGCAGUGGGGAAUAUUGGACAAUGGGCGCAAGCCUGAUCCAGCCAUACCGCGUGGGUGAAGAAGGCCUUCGGGUUGUAAAGCCCUUUUGUUGGGAAAGAAAAGCAGCAGGUUAAUACCCCGCUGUUCUGACGGUACCCAAAGAAUAAGCACCGGCUAACUUCGUG
rnacentral:rRNA from 1 species